UACGAGGGGGGCUAGCGUUGCUCGGAAUUACUGGGCGUAAAGCGCGCGUAGGCGGGUCGUUAAGUCGGGGGUGAAAUCCUGGAGCUCAACUCCAGAACUGCCUUCGAUACUGGCGAUCUUGAGUCCGGGAGAGGUGAGUGGAACUCCGAGUGUAGAGGUGAAAUUCGUAGAUAUUCGGAAGAACACCAGUGGCGAAGGCGGCUCACUGGCCCGGUACUGACGCUGAGGUGCGAAAGCGUGGGGAGCAAACAGG
rnacentral:rRNA from 1 species